rnacentral:rRNA from 1 species
CCUACGGGGGGCAGCAGUGGGGAAUAUUGGACAAUGGGCGAAAGCCUGAUCCAGCCACGCCGCGUGUGUGAAGAAGGCCUUCGGGUUGUAAAGCACUUUCAGUGGGGAAGAAAGCCUUGGGGCUAAUACCCUCGAGGAAGGACAUCACCCACAGAAGAAGCACCGGCUAACUCCGUGCCAGCAGCCGCGGUAAUACGGAGGGUGCGAGCGUUAAUCGGAAUUACUGGGCGUAAAGCGCGCGUAGGCGGUCUGAUAAGCCGGUUGUGAAAGCCCCGGGCUCAACCUGGGAACGGCAUCCGGAACUGUCAGGCUAGAGUGCAGGAGAGGAAGGUAGAAUUCCCGGUGUAGCGGUGAAAUGCGUAGAGAUCGGGAGGAAUACCAGUGGCGAAGGCGGCCUUCUGGACUGACACUGACGCUGAGGUGCGAAAGCGUGGGUAGCAAACAGGAUUAGAUACCCCAGUAGUC